CGGGCUGUAGCGUAGCCUGGUAGCGCGCUUGCAUGGGGUGCAAGAGGUCGUGAGAUUGUGCGCCUCCGGCGCAUUCGAAUGCGCCAGAGGCGCAAAAGCCCGCCGGAGGCGGACAAGCUUGCCUGCCUCUGGCAGGUCUCACCAGCCCGACCA
rnacentral:tRNA from 1 species